rnacentral:SRP_RNA from 1 species
GCUGGGCGUGGUGGCGCGCGCCUAUAGUCCCAGCUACUCAAGAGGCUGAGGUGGGAGGAUCGCUUGAGUCCAGGAGUUCUGGGCUGCAGUGCACUAUGCCGAUCGGGUGUCCGCACUAAGUUCGGCAUCAAUAUGGUGACCUCCCUGGGGCAGGGGACCACCAUGUUGCCUAAGGAGGGGUGAACCGGCCCAGAUCGGAAACGGAGCAGGUCAAAACUUCCGUGCUGAUCAGUAGUGGGAUCACAUCUGUGAAUAGCCACUGCACUCCAACCUGGGCAAUAUAGUGAGACCCUGUCUCU